rnacentral:SRP_RNA from 1 species
GCCAGGCAUGGUGUCACACGCCUGUAGUCCCAGCUUCUGGGAGGCUGAGACAGGAGGAUCCCUUGAGCCCAGGAGUUCCAGGCUGCAGUGCACUAGGCCCUAAGUUCGGCAUCAACGUGGCGACCUCCCGAGAGCAGGGGACCACCAGGUUGCCUAUGGAGGCAAGAACCAGCCCAGGUCAGAAAAGAAGCAGGUCAAAACUGUGCUAAGUAAGCCCACACACCUGCGGGCAAUUAAUCUCCGACAAAGGAGGCAAGAAUAUACAAUGGGGAAAAAGUCUCUU